UUCAACUGUGAUGAGCUUAUAGACCUGUAAUGAUUUGCGGCUAUGAUCGCAAACAUAGUUGAACAUCCAAGGGACUAAGUUGUG
rnacentral:snoRNA from 2 species